GAUAUGUUUUUGUUCGGUUCUUGGUUCUUUCCUUUCCAUGUACUGUUUCCAUGGAUGAAGAGUAAAAGAAAGGUCCUUGGUGUUUCAUGCAUAGUAGGCUUUUCAAACCUUAAGUUGUUUUUGCUUUGGAAUAUUCAACCUAGGUGAUGUAGGCCUAGGCUACUCGUUCAAUCAUCUCGGCAGCAAAAACUCAAAUUAAAUGGAGUCUGUCUACCACCGAUUCAAUUCUUAUGACUUCGAGAGCAAUACCAAUUUUCAGGAAGGUUUAAGAAGUAUCCAAGAGAACAAGGGAGCAGAAAAUAUAUUGAAGCUGAAAUUGUUCUAUUAUAAUAGAUUCGUCGAGCCUGUUGAUUUGGAGGGUUACAGACAAUGGAGUCGCUGUCAUAAAUCGCAACCCGUCACCGCAGCUUGCUUUGAAUCCUGUAAUUUGGAGGGCAUUAAUCAGGUCACUAAACCCAUGGGGCAGUCCGACCACGAACAAGCGCUUCUCGGUUCCCGUCAAAGCGAGGGAAAUGACAGUCUGUCAUUUGCAGACGUUCUCCGCCUGAUUCAAGCCGGUGAAGAAGUCCCAGGCAUUGAGAAUCUGGAUAUUAGGCCGUGCCAACAAACACCAACAGUCUCACAAUUGUCACGAAGGUUAAAACCAUGGGAAAGGGAUAAUUCAGGCAUUUCUAUGUCGCUAAAUGAAUAAAAACAAACAAAUAGC